UUCCCGAUCCACCGGUUUCUGCCACCUUCAUCGGCGGCGGCGCGUGAAUCCACGCGCCGCCAGUGACGGUGGCGCCAGUUCCACGCGCCGCCACUGUUCUGGCAGCUCCAGAAGUCGGCCUGAUACUGUUCCGGGUUGUUUGGUUCAUUUUGUAAUUUUCAAAUUGUUUAAUGUAAUAUUUGUGUAAUUUUGAGUUUUUUUUAUAAUUUGUACUUUGUGUAAAUGUGGAGGAAAAAGAAAAAAGAAAAGAAAAGAAAAGAGAAGAAAAAAAAACAAAUAAUAAUAGAAAAAGAGUUGUGCGUGUUUUGUUUUUUUUUUGUUAUGUAUGUUAUUGAAUAAAAAGAAAAAAAAUGAAUUUAAUUUAUAUGCACAAAUAUCUAAAGGACAGAUAAAAAUCAUGUUGUAUUUUCCACAAAAAUGUAGAACAUGUAUCUACAUAUAUUUUGGGAACUAAUAACUGAUUUAUCAAAGCCUUAGAAUUGGGCUAAAAUUUUAUUUUUAAAUCACAUCAAGUCCACG
rnacentral:lncRNA from 1 species